UGCAGUUUCAUGGUAUUAGUCAUUUUAAUGUACAAUUGGAAAAGAAAUCAUGUAGUAUAUAUGCCCAAGUGGUUGCUCAUGCUGGCACCCAGCAGAGUGAACAUCAGCGUGCUCGAGAUCACCAAUGUACUGAGAAUCUCUGUCCAACCAAAUCGAGGAGCUGCACCAAGAUGAUGUCCAUUGUCUAUGGGCUCCUGUUGCUACCCAGCCGAUUAGAUGCCGGUAUGCUCAAGAUUACCAAUUUAGCGAGCAUCUUUGCUCAACCAAUUCGAGGAGAUGCACCGAGAUAAUGUGCAUCAGUGGUGGGCUCCAGUUGCUGCCCGUUUAUCGAAUGGGACAACAAUUCGAUUGUGAUGUGAACAGGGAGGCCACAACUGGUGGCUAACUUGUGUGUAUGCCCUCAAAAGGAUAAUGAGAAAGUGAUGCUUUUGCAAUAAUUGCGGAAUGUUAGAGCUCUGUGUGCUGGACCUUGCAUCGCUCUGUAGGUGACUUCAACCUGAUCUAUCAAGCUGAAGAUAAGAAUAACAAUAAUCUGAAUUGUACAAUGAUGGGAAAUUUCGGUGCCUCCUAGAUGCAUGAUGUCGAGCUUAAAGAGAUUCCUCUCUUGGGGCGCAAAUACACUUGGUCUAAUGAGCGUUUGUCACCAACUCUGGUAUGUCUCAAUUGAGUCUUCUGAUCCUCAGAUUUGGAGGACAUUUCCCCGACUUCCUCCUGCAAAGCUCGGCUUCUGUGGUUUCUGACCACUGCCCUCUUAUUCUUGGGCUGCAAGUUAAAGUUCAAGGGAAAAAAAGGUUCCAUUUUGAAAGUUUUUGUCCUAAACUUGAAGGUUUCCAGCAAAUGGUCAUGGAGAACUGGGAAGCUCAGUUGGGCUCGGCUUGCCUGGUUGAGAGGUUCUACCUCAAAUUGACUCGCCUUAAUAGAGGUUUGCAAAAGUGGAGCAGCAAAAAUUGGGGAACAUCAAGCUCCAACUAGACAUUGCAAAAGAAGUGCUUCACCGGCUUGAAAUCGCAAGAGAUUCUAGAGCUUUGUCUGAGGAAUAAGUCUUGUUGAGAAGGAAAAAAACUUAAAGUACUCUGCCUCGGCUUAGCUUCGCUUGUUUGAACGAUUGCGAGACAGCGCUCCCGCAUUCUGUACAUCCGUGAUGGAGAUGCCAAUACUUCCUUUGUUUCAUCAGCAUGGCAGAUUUAGGAAGAAAAAGAACUUCAUUUCCAAGCUGCAAGUUGGAGGUCAAAUCCUCACUUCUCAGGAAGACAAACAAGAGGCAGUAUGGAAUUUUUUCCACGGUCUCCUUGGGACAGCUAGUCAGAGGGAUCACUCUUGAUUUCUCCAAACUGGAUAUUGUGCAGCAUGAUCUGGUUUUCUUGGAGGAAGAUUUUACAAGUCAUGUUGGGAUAUUAUCAAAGAGGAUGUGAUGCUGGCUAUCUCGGCAAUACAUUGUGGCCAUGUGGCAAAAUUUAAACUCCUGAACACAACUUUCAUUUCUCUCUUGCCAAAGAAGAUGCCUGCAGCUCAGGUGAAGGAUUAUCGCCCCAUUAGUCUUAUUCACAGCUUUGCCAAACUAAUUACCAAGCUUUUGGCAAACCGUCUAGCGCCCCUUCUCCCAGCCAUGGUCUCGGUGAACCAAAGUGCUCUUGUGAAGGUUAGAAGCAUUCAUGACAAUUUUUUGCUAGUCCAUCAAUUGGCUAAAAGGCUGCUUUCUGCUCGAGGUUUUACAAGAACUUUUUGCUGAAUUUUAUUCUCGAGCUUUCCAGCAAUUGGUCCAGCAAUUUUUUGCUGAUUUCUUAAACUUGAUAUCUCUAAAGCUUUUGAUUCGGUGGACUGGUCCUUUCUGCUUGAGGUUUUACGUCAUCUGACCUUUGGGAAACGAUUGUGUAAUCUGAUUUGCCUUUUGCUUUCAACUUCUUCUACAAGAAUUUUGGUGAAUGAAGAACCUGGCCAGGUUAUUGCUCACUGUAGAGGUCUCCGUCAAGAGGAGACCUAUCUCUUCUCAAGCAGAUUUUGGAUUUAUUUUGGGACAUAUCUCUGGGCUAAAGACCAACAUGGCAAAGAGUUCUUGCAUCCCCAUCCACUGUUUGGUAGAGGAUUUGGAAGUGAUCUCCUCGGAGUUGGGUGUGAAAUGAAGAAUUUUCCUUGCUCUUAUCUUGGACUUCCUCAUUCAGUCCACAAACUUGCCAAGACUAACUUUCUAUCUCUUGUGGAUAAGCUAUCCCUAUUUAUGCAAUGAUGGCUUUGGACCUUCCUAAUUGGGUAAUUAAAGCCAUAGAUAAAAGGAGUCAGGGUUUUCUUUUGAGAGGAAGAGAAAACACUAAUGGAGGAAAUUGUCUGGUCUCAUGGGAUUGGGUGUGUCGGCCACUGUCCUAUGGAGGCCAUGGUAUUCUUAACAUGGAGAAAUUGGGGGUACUAUGAAUGAGGUGGCUGUGGAUCCAAAAAACUGAUUAUGCUAGGGCUUGGGCCGGUUUACCUAUUCAGGUAACUCUAAACGUCCAUUCCCUCUUUCAUGUGGCUGUCCAAACUAUAAUUUGGAAUGGAGAGAAUACCACAUUUUGGUGCGAUAGGUGGCUGCAAGGGAAGACAAUAGCAGAAUUGGCCCCUAAUCUCUUUGCUUUGAUCUCAAAGAGGGCAAAGAAGCAGCGAUAUGUGGCGCAAACCAUGGUCAGCAGAAGAUGGGUGGCUGAUAUACAUGGGGGGCUGUCUGUCUAGGUUAUCUAUGAGUAUUUGGUCAUUUGGGACUUGGUAGAAGGGGUGGUUCUACAACAAGAAGUUGAAGGCCAGCAUAUUUGGAAGUUCACCACAGAUGGUAAACAUUGUAAAUAUAUUUGGUGACCUCGUUGCAUAUUUUUGUACCAUCAUUGAGAAUUUUUGAUGAUAUAUCUUGUUUCACUGCUAUGACUUGCUGUUGAUUAUGCAACUGGAGAUGACACUUACACUUUAUUCUAGAAGAAUGGACAGUUACAUGGCCAGUGAAUUGCCAACAUUGUACCAUGUUGAUUUGCUGGGGUUCCUUGAAGAGGACCCAAUCGACGCACUUUGUUAUAGGCACUAACGGGUCAUAAUUGGAUCUGGGAUAUUCGUGGAUCUUUCUUGGCCAAUGUUAUUACGGAAUAAUUGGAUAACCCUUUCGGAUGCCCACGGCGAUUGUGCUAUACUUUUGAAUUUGGGUACUGCUGUCCAAAUAUCACGGGAUUCAGUCUAGUCAAUAUUUUUCCUCUUCCAAGUUAAUUGUUCUUAUGGUUUUGGUUUUUCUCUUGCCAACUAUUACUAUAUCAUCUAUUGCAAAUGGUAUAAUUGGAUCUGCCAUAUGCAUGGAUCUUUUUCCUAGCCAAUGUUAUUGUGGAAUAAUUGGAUAAUCUUUUGGAUGCAUACGACAAUUGUGCUAUACUUUUGAAUUUGGGUACUGCUGUCCAAAUAUCACAAGCGAUGAUAGGCUCAGGCACAAGUUGGCAAAUACUAAAGAAGGGGAGACUCUUUAUAUCCUCCCAAAUGUCAAUGAUCCAGCAUGGGAAUAUGUUAGAUAUAGCAAGAAGAAUUGUCAUCAAUAUGUGAAGUGCUUGUUAUGCAACAAAAGCUGGGCAUGUGGUAUCAGUCGUAUGAUGAAGCACCUUGCAGGAAUAAAGGGUGACAUCCAAGCUUGCAGAGCAACGACAUCAGAGAUAAAGAUGAAAUUUCGGAACCAGAUAGAGAUUGCAAUGAAUGAGGAGGAUAAAAAUCAGCAAGAAGAUGGGCAAAGGGCAUAGGUUGACACUAGAAACAUGCGCGGCCUUGCCGCGCGUACCGCAUACGUUCUGGGCUAUUUUUUAGCAAGUGAUGUUCAAUAUAAUAUAUGGGUUGACUCCACUUAAAUAUUGAUUACUUUGAUACCUCACUAUAUAAGGAGAACUUAAUGUACUUAG